GGUCCUGGCCGCCUUUCCGGUUUCUUCAGCACCCUGGAGCACCGCCCUCGGGUUUCGGCCCCCUGGACUCUGCAGGUCGGUCCCGGUGGGCGGAUUACUCCUCGCCCACAACCUCGAGACCCCGGGGUCAACCGCGCCCUCCGGGCCGGCAACCCAGGGUUUAGUCAGAUUCCUCCUGACCCACCGCUUCUGGGAAAGAGGCGCCUCCAGUCAGGAGGAUGCUGAGUUCCUCAUGACUGGACCAGUGAGUGUCCACUCCCUGGUCCCUGGCGGGAGAGGCGGGACCCCCACACUCUCCCUGCGCUCUUUGCAGAGAUGUUCCUCAGGCCCAAUCCGGGAUUUGGGAUGUCUGUGCAUGCUGUGGAGCAGAGAGUUUGCAACUUGGUCUCACUUUGUCACCCAGGCUGGAAUGCAUUGGCAUGAACACGUCUCACUGCAGCCUCAACCUCCCAGGCUGAAGUGACUCUCCAACUCAGCUUUCAGAGUAGCUGUGAUAUGGUUUGGCUGUGUCCCCACCCACAUCUCAUCUUGAAACCCAGUGGGAGGUAAUUGAAUCAUGGGGGCAAGUCUUUCCGGUGCUGUUCUUGUGAUAGUGAAUAAGUCUCAUGAGAUCUGAUGGUUUUAAAAAGAGUUCUGGCUGGGCAUGGUGGUGGGCACCUGUAAUCCGAACUACUAGGGAGGCUGAGGCAGAGUGAAUUGCUUGAACCUGGGAGAAGGAGGUUGCAGUGAGCCGAGAUUGCACCACUGCACUCCAGCCUGGACAACAGAGUGAGACUCUGUCUCCAAAAAAAAAAAAAAAAAUGGAAUUCCUCUGCACAAGCUCUCUCUCUUUGCCUGCUGCCAUCCAUGUAAGAUGUGACUUGCUCUUCCUUGCCCUCACUAUGAUUGUAAAUCUUUCCCCAGCCACGUGGAACUGUAAGUCCAAAAAAACCUCUUUCUUUUGUAAAUUGCCCAGUCUUGCGUAUGUCUAUCAGCAGCAUGGAAAUGGACUAAUACAGUAAAUUGGUACCAGUAGAGUGGGGUGUUGCUGAAAAGAUACCUGAAAAUGUGAAAGUGACUUUGGAACUGGGUAGCAGGCAAACAUUGGAACAGUUUGGAGGGCUCAGAAGAAGACAGGAAAAUGUGGGAAAGUUUGGAACUUCCUAGAGACUUGUUGAAUGGCAUUGACAAAAAUGCUGAUAGUAAUAUGAGCAAUAAGAUCCAGUCUGAGGUGGUCUCAGAUGGAGAUGAGGAACUUGUUGGGAACUGGAGCAAAGGUGACUCUUGUUAUGUUUUAGCAAAGAGACUGGUGACAUUUUGCCCCUGCCCGAGAGAUUUGUGGGACUUGGAGCUUGAGGGAGAUGAUUUAGGGUAUCUGGUGGAAGAUAUUUCUUUUUUUUUUUUUUUUUUUUUGAGACUUAGUCUUGCACUGUCGCCCGGGGUGGAGUGCAAUGGUGCGAUCUCAGCUCACUGGGUUCAAGCAAUUCUCCUGCCCCAGCCUCCUGAGUAGCUGGGAUUACAGGCGUCUGCCACCACGCCCUUCUAAUUUUUUGUAUUUUUCGUAGAGAUGGUUUCACUAUGUUGGCCGGUGGAAGACAUUUCUAAGCAGCAAAGCAUUCAAGAGGUGACUUGGGUGUUGUUAAAGGCAUUCUGUUUUGACUGGGUAAGGUGGUGCACACCUAUAAUCCCAGCACUUUGGGAGGCCGAGGAGGGUGGAUCAAGAGGUCAGGAGUUCAAGACCAGCCUGGUCAAUAUGGUGAAACCCUGUCUCUACUAGAAAUACAAAAAUUAGCUGGGCAUGGUGAUGCGCGCCUGUAAUUCCAGCUUCUCGGGAGGCUGAUGCAGGAGAAUUGCCUAGACCCAGGAGGUGGAGGUUCCAUGAGCCAAGAUCAUGCCACUGACUCCAGCCUGGGCAACAGACUGAGACUCUGUCUCAAAAAAAAAAAAAAAAAAAAAGGCAUUCAGUUUUAUAAGGGAAGCAGAGCAUAAAAGUUUGGGAGAUUGCAGCCUGACAAUGCAAUAGAAAAGAAAAUCCCAUUUUCUGAGAGGAAAUUCAAGCUGGCUGCAAAAAUUUGCAUAAGUACCAAGGAGCCGAAUCUUAAUACCCAAGACAAUGGGGAAAGUAUCUCCCAGACAUGUCAGAGGUCUUCGUGGCAGCCCCUCCCAUCACAGGUCCAGAGGACUAGGAGGAAAAAGUGGUUUUGUGGGUGGCACCCAGGGUCCACAUGCUAUGUGCAGCCUAGGGACUUGGUGCCCUGCGUCUCAGCUGCUCCAGUGGUGACUGAAAGGGGCCAACAUAGAGCUCGGGCUGUUGCCUCAGGGUGUGGAAGCCCCAAAUCUUAGCAGCUUCCAUGUGGUGUUGAGCCUGCGAGUACAUAGAAGUCAAGAAUUGGGGUUUGGGAACCUCCAUCUAGAUUUCAGAAGAUAUAUGGAAAUGCCUGGAUGCCCAGGCAGAAGUUUGCUGUAGGGGUGGAGCCGUCAUGGAGAACCUCUGCUAGAGCAGUGCAGAAGGGAAAUGUGGGGUCAGAGCCCCCACACAGAGUCCCUGCUGGGGCACUGCCUGAUGGAGCUGUGAGAAGCGGACCACCAUCCUCCAGACCCCAGAAUGGUAGAUCCACUGACAGCUUGCACUGUGUGCCUGGAAAAGCUGCAGACACUCAAUGCCAGCCUAUGAAAGCAGCCUGGAGGGAGGCUUUACUGUGCAAAGCCACAGAAGUGGAGCUGCCCAAGACCAUGGGAAUCCACCUCUUGCGUCAGUGUGACCUGGAUGUGAGACAUGGAGUCAAAGGAGAUCAUUUUGAAGUUUUAAGAUUUGACUGCCCUGCUGGAUUUCAGACUUGCAUGGGUCCUGUAGCCCCUUUGUUUUGGCCAAUUUCUCCCAUUUGGAAUGGCUAUAUUUACCCAAUGCUUAUACCACCAUUGUAUCUAGGAAGUAAAUAACUUACUUUUGAUUUUACAGGCUCAUAGGCAGAAGGGAUUUGCCUUGUCUCAGAUGAGACUUUGGACUGUGGACUUUUGAGUUAAUGCUGAAAUGAGUUAAGACUUCGGAGGACUAUUGGGAAGGCAUGAUUGGUUUUGAAAUGUGAAGACAUGAGAUUUGGGAGGGGCCAGGGCGGAAUGAUAUGGUUUGGCUUAGUGUCCCCACCCAAGUCUUAUCUUGUAGCUCCCAUAACCCAUGUGUCGUGGGAGGGACCUGGUAAUUGAAUCAUGUGGGCUGGACGCGGUUGCUCAUGCCUGUAAUCCCAGCACUUUGGGAGGCCAGCAGGGAGAUCACUUGCGAUCAGGAGUUUGAGACCAGCCUGGCCAACAUGGUGAAACCCCAUCUAUACUAAAAAUACAAAAAUUAGCCAGGCACGGUGGCGGGCACCUGUAAUCCCAGCUACUUGGGAGGCUGAGGCACGAGAAUCACUUGAACCUGGAGGCAGAGGUUGCAGUGAGCCAAGAUCAUACCACUGCACUCCAGCCUGGGCGUCGAAAUGAAACUUAGUCUUAAAAAAAAAAAAAAAAAGAAUAAUGGGGGUGGGUCUUUCCCGUGCUGUUCUCAUGAUAGAGGAUAAGUCUUACAAGAUCUGAUGGUUUUAAAAAUGAGAGUUAUUUCUCUCUUCUCUUGUCUGCCACCAUGUGAGACAUGCCUUUCACCUUCCACCAUGAUUGUGAGGCCUCCCCAGCCACAUGGAACUGUAAGUCCAAUAAACCUUUUCCUUUUUUUUUUUUUUUUUUGAGACGGAGUCUUACUCUGUUGCCCAGGCUGGAGUGCAAUGGCGCAAUCUCAGCUCACUGCAAGCUCCGCCUCCCAGGUUCACGCCAUUCUCCUGCCUCAGCCUCCUGCAUAGCAGGCAUUGUCACAGGUGCCCGCCACCACACCCAGCUAAUUUUUUUGUAUUUGUAGUAGAGACGGGGUUUCACCGUGUUAGCCAGGAUGGUAUUGAUCUCCUGACCUUGUGAUCCGCCCGCCUCGGCCUCCCAAAGUGUUGGGAUUACAGGCGUGAGCCACUGCACCCAGCAAUAAACCUCUUUCUUUUGUAAAUUGCCCAGGUGUGUCUUUAUCAGCAGCAUGAAAAUGGACUCAUACAAUGAUCCAUUACCUAGGGUAAAAUUCUCCUGAGUGCCAAAUAGAGAUAAACUACAUUUGGGUUUUGGGUGAGUUGCCUGUAAUGAUGAAUCAAGAAUCCUCAAAUCUGUCUUGCCACCCAUUUAAUACGUAUUUUUGUUAAGGCUGAAGUUUAUAAUUAGAAUCAGGAUAUUUUGGCCUAUUGAGAGGUUCUGAAUUCCAACAGAAGAUGCCAUGUAAAUCAGUGAAUUUGAUUCUUUUAAAAGCAACUUACAAAAUUUACAAGAUUUAUUCAAUAAAGCAGUUCAGCUUUGGUAUAUCAAA